GUUCUUCAAGCCUUGGAUGCCACACUACAGACUGUUUUGUGUUCUUCUGUUCCUGAUGCCCUCCUGUUCUGGGUGUGUGUUCUGCAGAGGUCUUGGUUUCAAUUUAGAGAAGAGAUUUGAAAUGCUGUGUGAGAAUUAUACCCAAAAAAUGAACGUUCAGAACUGUAGCCGUCACCAAGGACCUUUCCAAUUUGACCCUUAUGGGCUUGAAGAGAACUCACUUCUUUUCAUCACAGAG